GGGGGUGUAAGGUGAUCGACUUAGUCUAGAACUAGGGACGGGGGUUCAAGUCCUCCCACCUCCACCA
rnacentral:sRNA from 1 species